GAUGAACGCUGGCGGCGUGCCUAAUACAUGCAAGUCGAGCGAACAGAUAAGGAGCUUGCUCCUUUGACGUUAGCGGCGGACGGGUGAGUAACACGUGGGUAACCUACCUAUAAGACUGGAAUAACUCCGGGAAACCGGGGCUAAUGCCGGAUAACAUUUAGAACCGCAUGGUUCUAAAGUGAAAGAUGGUUUUGCUAUCACUUAUAGAUGGACCCGCGCCGUAUUAGCUAGUUGGUAAGGUAACGGCUUACCAAGGCAACGAUACGUAGCCGACCUGAGAGGGUGAUCGGCCACACUGGAACUGAGACGCGGCCCAGACUCCUAGGGGAGGCAGCAGUAGGGAAUCUGGCGAAAUGGGCGAAAGCCUGACGGAGCAGCGCCGCGUGAGUGAAGAAGGUCUUCGGAUCGUAAAACUCUGUUAUGAGGGAAGAACAAAUGUGUAAGUAACUGUGCACGUCUUGACGGUACCUAAUCAGAAGGCCACGGCAAACUACGU
rnacentral:rRNA from 1 species